UACGUAGGUGGCAAGCGUUGUCCGGAAUUAUUGGGCGUAAAGGGCGCGUAGGCGGCCUUCUAAGUCAGACGUGAAAUCCCCCGGCUUAACCUGGGAACUGCGUCUGAUACUGGAGGGCUUGAGUGCGGGAGAGGGAUGUGGAAUUCCAGGUGUAGCGGUGAAAUGCGUAGAUAUCUGGAGGAACACCGGUGGCGAAGGCGGCAUCCUGGACCGACACUGACGCUGAGGCGCGAAAGCUAGGGUAGCAAACGGG
rnacentral:rRNA from 1 species